UUGACAUACCAUUGACCGUUCUAGAGAUAGGAUUUUCCCUUCGGGGACAAUGGAUACAGGUGGUGCAUGGUUGUCGUCAGCUCGUGUCGUGAGAUGUUGGGUUAAGUCCCGCAACGAGCGCAACCCCUGUCGUUAGUUGCCAGCAUUCAGUUGGGGACUCUAACGAGACUGCCAGUGACAAACUGGAGGAAGGUGGGGAUGACGUCAAAUCAUCAUGCCCCUUAUGACCUGGGCUACACACGUGCUACAAUGGUUGGUACAAAGAGAAGCGAAGCGGUGACGUGGAGCAAACCUCAUAAAGCCAAUCUCAGUUCGGAUUGUAGGCUGCAACUCGCCUACAUGAAGUUGGAAUCGCUAGUAAUCGCGAAUCAGAAUGUCGCGGUGAAUACGUUCCCGGGUCUUGUACACACCGCCCGUCACACCACGAGAGUCUACAACACCCGAAGUCAGUGGCCUAACCGCAAGGAGGGAGCUGCCUAAGGUGGGGUAGAUGAUUGGGGUGAAGUCGUAACAAGGUAUCCCUACCGGAA
rnacentral:rRNA from 1 species